rnacentral:rRNA from 1 species
GAGAGUGGCAGACGGGUGAGUAACGCGUGGGAAUCUACCUAGUUCUACGGAACAACAGUUGGAAACGACUGCUAAUACCGUAUACGCCCUACGGGGGAAAGAUUUAUCGGAAUUAGAUGAGCCCGCGUAAGAUUAGCUAGUUGGUGGGGUAAUGGCCUACCAAGGCGACGAUCUUUAGCUGGUCUGAGAGGAUGAUCAGCCACACUGGGACUGAGACACGGCCCAGACUCCUACGGGAGGCAGCAGUGGGGAAUAUUGGACAAUGGGCGCAAGCCUGAUCCAGCCAUGCCGCGUGAGUGAUGAAGGCCUUAGGGUUGUAAAGCUCUUUCAGUGGGGAAGAUAAUGACGGUACCCACAGAAGAAGCCCCGGCUAACUUCGUGCCAGCAGCCGCGGUAAUACGAAGGGGGCUAGCGUUGUUCGGAUUUACUGGGCGUAAAGCGCACGUAGGCGG